GGUUAACUUAUCAUCUCACUACCGGGGUUUUGUCAACUGCUUGUCCGUAUGCUUGUUUCUGGAUUUGGAACUAGCUUCUGUACUUUCUGACUGGAACAAGACUGGAAUUGCUAUCAGCCUAGUAACUACUAGUGGAAUUAGUGGAAUCCCGGCCAAGUAACUGCAAAUAGGUACUCGAAAUGAUCUAAUGGAAAUAGGUAAUUGAACAGGACUACUUUUAUUCAACGAACCCCGCGGAGACCUCCGACUCAAAGGUCAAAAGCAGAGGCAUUUUCUAGGUAUGGAAUUAGAACAAGCUUAGGCGCUAAGAGAAGAGGUUAGCAAACAAAGUCUCAGAAGCAUACAUAUUUAAUUAGGACUUCAUAAUAACAAUAACUCAUUUAUUACUUGUUAUAUGUUUGUGGAUCAGAGGCUGUGGAGGCAGUAUCAAAAAGUAAGGAAGCAGCGCCCUAGGAAAGUAUAGUUUUGGUGUUGGCUAAAGUAAGGGUAGUUAGAGUGCCGGGCUUACUGGUUUCUUCAUAGCCUUCUACUUACUAGUGGAAUGAUUUGUAUUCCUUGUUUCAAUUCUUUGAUUUACAGGGUUCUAUACCAAGUGCAGGAAGUGCUAUGUCUUUACUUAUAGAUCCUUCCCAGGUGCUCGAUACGAAAGAGUCCAUUACUACUGUUUUGGUGCUCCAUACGAAAGAGUCAAUUGAAGUGAAGGAGCUGUGGGAGUCGAGGUAGGCCAGGUCAGAAACGGAAUCAGGGUUGACUGUUCCAACAAGUAGGCAAGUAGUCCUGGGUGAAGUCUUGUUGGUACUGCUUUCAGUCUGCCUGUGCCUAGUGUCUUGGCUGUUGCCUAGGAGCCGAAUUAAGGUAGAAGAGAUGCUCUAGUCCAGAGGAUAGGUAGGCAAGAAAGUCAUAAAGAGAGCUCGGGUUGGUUAAGAGAGGAGCCUAGCCUAAUUCUUUUAUUAGUUUACAGCAGCAAUCGGGUAUCUCGGGUUCAAGUAAGGUUAUGAAGGUCAGAUCAUAAAGUACAGAAGCCUUCGUCAGGAUAGAUAGAAUCCAAAGCUGUUCGAAGGGAAGCAGCGAGGUAAGCGGGAAGGAAAGGCUAUGAAGCGGGAAGGGCCAAGCAACUCCUAAUGUUGCGCGGCAGGAGCCUGUUGCCUGUUAGUGCAGUGUAAUGCCAGAAAGGGAAGCGGGAAGGGAAAGGGGAAAGGUUAACUCAGGACUCAAAGUAGGCUUGUCCAGUUGCUUGGCCAACCAAAGGACUAUAGUUCAAUCCGGUGUGAAAGCCCUAUUUCUCUAAGUACUGGGUUGGAUAGUUUCAUCCCCUUGACCUGGACCGGAUGCAGUUUCUUCUGCUGAAAGGACUGUUAGCGGUGCUUUUGUUGACGACUCGAGAAUAAGCAGUUAGAGGUUUGCAAGGGAAGCAGUUAGAGGUUUGCAAGGGAGAAUCAUAAAGAGGUGUUACCUGUUGCCAUAGGUAUUGUUUAAAGAGGUCAGAGAUCUUAGUUGGCAUGAGGAAGGUAGGCGGAGAGAUCUUAGUUGGCAUGAGGGAGGUAGGCGGGCAGUUCUAUAUAACUAUUAUAAAGAUAAUAUAUCAUUUCUAUUGGUUUCUUCUAUUGAGUCGGUAUAUGGUAGCGGCAGGAGUGUUCCCUGUAAAUAAGUAGAUUGAUUUACAGCUCGAUAAGCAAAGGGUUAUUCAUCCAGCACUGUCCACGACCCAUACUUUUGGUCUGCGUUAUUGCAGUAAGUAAACUAGUGAGUGAAAUACCUUCUUAUCGGAUGUUCGCCCUCCGUAAGUAAUAAAUCCUAUGUCCGCGGAUUCUUGCAGGUAAGUAGCUUGGCCC
rnacentral:lncRNA from 1 species